CCAAUAGCGUAUAUUAAAGUUGUUGCAGUUACAAAGCUCGUAGUUGAACUUCGGGGUCUACCCAUUGGUCAGGCUUAAUUGUCUGUACUGGUGAGAUGGAUCUCUACCUUCUGAGGAACUUUCAUGCCAUUUAUUGGGUGUGGUUGGAAAUCAGGACUGUUACUUUGAAAAAAUUAGAGUGUUUAAAGCAGACUAUCGUCUGAAUACAUUAGCAUGGAAUAAUGAAAUAGGACGGACUGAUUCUAUUUCGUUGGUUUCUAGGAUCACCGUAAUGAUUAAUAGGGAUAGUUGGGUGGAUUAGUAUUCAAUUGUCAGAGGUGAAAUUCUUUGAUUUAUUGAAGACUAACUACUGCGAAAGCAUUUGCCAAGGAUGUUUUCAUUAAUCAAGAACGAAAGUUAGGGGAUCGAAGACGAUCAGAUACCGUCGUAGUCUUAACCAUAAACUAUGCCGACUAGGGAUCGGACGAAGUUAAUUUUAUAAUGACGCGUUCGGCACCUUACGGGAACCCAAACACUUUGGUUUC
rnacentral:misc_RNA from 1 species